CCUACGGGGGGCUGCGGUGGGGAAUAUUGGACAAUGGGGGGAACCCUGAUCCAGCCAUGCCGCGUGUGUGAAGAAGGCCCUCGGGUUGUAAAGCACUUUCAGUGAGGAAGAACGCCUGGUGGUUAAUACCCAUCAGGAAAGACAUCACUCACAGAAGAAGCACCGGCUAACUCCGUGCCAGCAGCCGCGGUAAUACGGAGGGUGCGAGCGUUAAUCGGAAUUACUGGGCGUAAAGCGCGCGUAGGUGGCUUGAUAAGCCGGUUGUGAAAGCCCCGGGCUCAACCUGGGAACGGCAUCCGGAACUGUCAAGCUAGAGUGCAGGAGAGGAAGGUAGAAUUCCCGGUGUAGCGGUGAAAUGCGUAGAGAUCGGGAGGAAUACCAGUGGCGAAGGCGGCCUUCUGGACUGACACUGACACUGAGGUGCGAAAGCGUGGGUAGCAAACAGGAUUAGAUACCCUAGUAGUC
rnacentral:rRNA from 1 species